UAGUUGAUCCACAAUUUCUUGGUUGUGCUG
rnacentral:piRNA from 1 species